UCCCUGGUGGUUCAGUGGUUAAGACUCCACGCUUCCAAUGUAGGGGGCACAGGUUCGAUCCCCGGUCAGGGAA
rnacentral:tRNA from 1 species